rnacentral:rRNA from 1 species
GACGAACGCUGGCAGCGUGCUUAACACAUGCAAGUCGAACGAUGAAGCCGGAGCUUGCUCUGGUGAAUUAGUGGCGAACGGGUGAGUAACACGUGAGUAACCUGCCCUUGACUCUGGGAUAACUGCGGGAAACUGUAGCUAAUACCGGAUACGACCCUCGGAGGCAUCUCCUGGGGGUGGAAAGAAUUUCGGUCAAGGAUGGACUCGCGGCCUAUCAGCUAGUUGGUGAGGUAACGGCUCACCAAGGCGACGACGGGUAGCCGGCCUGAGAGGGUGACCGGCCACACUGGGACUGAGACACGGCCCAGACUCCUACGGGAGGCAGCAGUGGGGAAGAUUGCACAAUGGGCGCAAGCCUGAUGCAGCAACGCCGCGUGAGGGAUGACGGCCUUCGGGUUGUAAACCUCUUUUAGCAGGGAAGAAGCGAAAGUGACGGUACCUGCAGAAAAAGCACCGGCUAACUACGUGCCAGCCGCCGCGGUAA